UAUAUUACAGAUAAAUACCUGUGAAAGGAAGAAAGUGGAGUUCUAUUGAACCAAAGGAGAAGUUCUGAGAGAGGUUAGCCUUAGCUAACCCAGUAAGGAACUUUGGUAUGAUUAGUGCAUGAGUAGUCCCACAUCAGGGAGAGGUGGCUUCCUGCACCUGACCUGCGAGCUGAAGAAUGGAACAGCUGGAAGCCAUCUGCCAACUGCCUCGUGUAUCUUGGAAAAAAGUAUACCUUGAAGAAUGAUCUGCCUGGUGCAGCAUCAAGCCUAACACAGAGGCAGUUACUGAUGGAAGAGCCUAAAGGAAAAUGUAGGUCAAGUGCUUUUAUCCUCUGCAACUUGCACAAGAGCAAUCACAAAAUCACAGUGACUGGCCCUGAUUUUCAGUGAUGGAAAGUGAAAGAUAAUAGGCGAGAAAGCAACACACAUGUAUUCAUUAUCAAGAGAGAAGCAGCUUUCUAAACUCAUCCUGAAAUUGAAGAAGAGAUCCUGAGUCUGUAUGAGCACCACUUGUUUCAUAGAUCAUGAGUUGGUCAUGGUUGAUAUAUUCAUAUGACUAGACUAUAUCAGUAAUAUUUUUAGAUCUUAUUCCCGUUUUUACUAGUGUUUAAUUAAACAAAUCUCAUUGCUAGUUAGGACUAGGCAUAUUAAUGUUACCCUUCUUAUUUCAGUCAAAACAUCCUUUAAUCAAUUCAAUGAUAGGCUUUUCUGUGGAACAGGACCUUCUGGUUCCCCAAGACACAGUUAUUCCACAGUCCAAUUAAACUCUGCAGUUAUGUUUUCAUGUGCAUCUAGGUAGCCUAUUUUUUAACCUUCCUAAACUGGGAUCUCUAAAUCUUGGAACUAUUGACAUUUUGGAUCAAAUAACUCGAAAGUAUGUGUGUGGGGAGCUGGCAGAGGGCAGAAGGUAGAGGUUCAUUGUUUUGCAACAUUCCCGGCCUUUCUCCACAAAAUAUCUGUAGCACUCCCUCCACCAGUCACAAUCAAUAAUGCCUCUAAUUCUUAUGAAAUACACCCUGAGAGGCAAAAUUGAUCCAAAUUAAGAACCACUGUUCUGGGGGCUGGCACUGUGGCAUAGUGGGUUAAGCAUCCACCUGUGGCACUGGCAUCCUAUAUGGCUCUGGUUUGAGUCCCGACUACUCCUCUUCUGACCCAGUUCUCUGCUAUGGCCUGGGAAAGCAGUAGAAAAAGGCCCAAGUACUUGGGCCCCUGUGCUUGUGUAGGAAAUCCAUAAAAAGCUCCUGGCUUAGGAUUGGCUCAACUCCAGCUGUUUGGAGAGUAGACCAACAGAUAGAAGACCUCUCCCUCUCUGUAACUAUGCUUCUCAAGUAAAUAAAAAUAAGUAAAUCUUGAAAAAAAUCA
rnacentral:lncRNA from 1 species